rnacentral:misc_RNA from 1 species
GAUGAAGAACGUAGCGAAAUGCGAUAAGUAAUGCGAAUUGCAGAAUCCGUGAGUCAUCGAAUCUUUGAACGCACAUUGCGCCCUCUGGUAUUCCGGAGGGCAUGCCUGUUCGAGCGUCAUUAUCACCCCUCAAGCCCGGCUUGUUGUUGGAUGCAGCGCUUAUCCCGCUCCUCCCAAAGAUAUGACGGCGUCUGCGACGACUCCUGUACACUGAGCUUUCGGGCACGUACACGGCUAGAAGUCCAGACCCGGUCGCCGCCCCCCCCGCGGGGACACCCAUUACCACAAGGUUGACCUCGGAUCAGGUAGGAAUACCCGCUGAACUUAAGCAUAUCAAUAAGCGGAGGA